CUCAUCAUCAUCAUCAUCAUCAUCUUCUUCUUCUCUCCAGUCUGUUAGUUUUUGUGGGAAAUUCUGUCAUUCGACAGAAGUUGCGAUCUUUCUCCGGAUAUGGCGCCUAAAACAAGGAUGACUGCAAGGAAGAGGAAGUUGGCAGAUUUGAAAUGUGAGAUGACAUCAAGAAAACAUCAACUUAACUGCAUGCAUGAGCUCCAUCAAUCUAAUGAACACAUACAAAAAAAUGAAGCAAGUGAUGGAGCAAUUUUGUCUAAAAGAAGAUUCUUUUUUGAACAAAUGAAAGAUGGGAAAUCUUCUAUGAAUUUUGAAAGUUUCUAUGAUCAAGAAAUUAAUGAUGAAACAAUUGCUGAUUCAUUUGAUUUCAAAAAUGAGCAUGCAGAAACUUCCCAAGUCCUUGAUGAUAAUGAAAACAUAAUUGCGGACAAUUCCAGGUUGAAUCUAUUUACCACUGGGCAAGCAUCAUAUCAAAAUAAGAAACAAGGAAAAUAAUAAAUGGUGCAAAUGUGUUUUGUUACAUUCUUACUGAGUCAGGUGUACAUAAGUGUAGGGCGUAAUUUUUUAUUGGUAAAUUCUUGGAUCAUACUGGAUAAAAGACCUUAAGUGUAUGGAAGGAGAAAGACCAAAUAUACUUUAUAAAUAGUGGUUCUUCAUCAUGCACCAACAUGCUAUUUUAAGAUCAUGGUAUGGGAGCUGAAAAAGUCCACUUUCAUAUGUACAUUUUGAUGAUAGCAUCAUUUGACGCGUGAAACUUUCGCUUAAGGAGAGGCUUCAGUUAAACUAAAAACAGUAACAAGCUUUGUUUUGGACACCUAAGAUUACUGUUGUGGCACGAGGGAAACACAUCUUUGUUUUUCUUUUUUCAAGAAGAUUGGAAUAUUACCCAUGAUUAAUUUUAUUUAUGGGCAUAUCAAUUUUGGUUUGUAAAAUCAGAAUUAAGGCGAUUGGAG